UUUGAAUUCGUCGUCCUAAUUAUAUGCAUAACUAAUCAAUGUCAACACUUUAAAUUUUAAAACUAAAAUUGAAACUUAUAUCCCAAAUUCUCUAUAUACACUUAAAGAUCUAGCAUUUCCAAUUUCCCAUACACUCCCUCAUAAUGGUAAUUUUGAUUCGGUUCUCUCAUGUUUUCUCUCCUAUAACCCUAGACUAAACCUUGGAAUAAAAAACGAUGGAAUGGAGAGGUACACAAGCAGAGGAACAAAUGGAGAUGCUUCAUUUUCUAAACACCAUUGCUUCUCUCUCCACCAUGUCGAUUUCAUGAAUAUUGAUCUAGAUCCCUAUACCAUCUGCAUCGAUUCACCGCCAAGCACCUUAUUUAUGAAUUUCCAGGCAAGAAUCUCGAACCUCUCUAUUCUCUUAUAUUAUGCUCUAAAGUUUUGUAUGUUUGUCACUCAAAAUCUCAGGAAACCCUAGCCUCACCACAAUCAAACAUGUUCCUGUGAAGUCCAUGGGAUGUUUUGGUGAUGUCGGUAACUGGAUCGUAAGAAAUAAAUUUCAAUUUUAGAUAAAUGCACUUUCUACAUCUUUUACUUAUGAAUCUUUUAUGGUCCAUAUUAGACCUGGAAUUUUGAAGCCUACAACAAUAAAAGGGGAAAGUUGAUCUUCUAAAUGUCUUUGAUGGUAAAUAGGAAAAGAUACUUGAAAGAAUGAAGUGUUUCAAAAGCUGGUAGUUUGCUACCAAUUGGUGACAAGGAGGAAAUCAAGUAUCCAUCAUCUGGACUCACUUUGGUGCUAUAUAAAGGGAAAAACUAAAGGAUUUUGUAAAGACAUGGAUCACGUGGUUAGAAAAAAUGAAGUAAAACUAAAGGUUUCAGUUACAAAUUAAUAUUGUUAUAGAGUCGAUUGGUUUGUAUUUUUAGUUUUUUAUUCUGAGCCUCUUAAUCCAUCAAUUUCCCCUUUGUUUUACUACAAUUUUACCCUUCGUGAAGCUACAAUUUCAAUUAGAUCUUUAACAAUUAUCACUUUUAGCAAAGGGUUCAAGUGAAGUAAAGCAUCGCGAAUUUCUUUUAUUAUAAGAAGCACUUCUGGCCAUUGUAACAAAAUCAUCUCUAUUAUAUUUAUUACUAUUUUUUGAUUUGUUGUAAUUGUAAUAAUACAAGGAGGCAUGAGAUGUUUUUUAAUCCGUGCUGUUUAUCAAUGUUUUACGUAUCUUUUUUGUAA